GUAGAGCACCUUCUCUGAGCACUAGCUGGAACACGGCGGCUCUUCUUUCUUCCACUCUGAGACAAGAACACAUGCGCUUUUCCUAGUUUCGCUCUUGUGGCCCAGUCUGGAGUGCAGUGGCACCAUCUCAGCUCAUUGCAACCUCCGCCUCCCCGGUUCAAGCGAUUCUCCUGCCUCAGCCUCCCGAGUAGCUGGGAUUACAGGCACCCGCCACCAUGCCCAGCUAAGUUUUUGUAUUUUUAGUAGAGACGGGGUUUCGCCAUGUUAGCCAGGAUGGUCUCGAGGUCCUGACCUCGUGAUCUGCCCACCUCAGCCUCCCAAAGUGCUGGGAUUACAGGCGUGAGCCACCCCGCCCGGGCAAUUUGUAAAUUUUUAAGAAACGCCCUUUGUUGUACACAAAUUAGACUUCAAUAAAGUUAGCCUUAAAACAGAAAACUAGAGGAAAGGAGAACUGGCUCAAAUUUUCUGUACUUUUCUCCUGUAACCACCCCUCAUUUCCUCCUUGAGCUGUCUCCCUGUCAUGUGAACAUGGUCGUCAACGAGUGGCUUCUAUAAUUGCUCAGACUAUCUUUCCCUCAACUGAAUUCCU
rnacentral:lncRNA from 1 species